AAAACCAGAGGCGUGAUGGAAGGAUGGUUAGUGGAUGAAAGACACAACCCGAACAUACGCUCCCGAGGCACCUUGGAAAUUUAUGCAGUCGAAGAAAAACUAUUGUUGGACACAGUGGGAUGAAAACUGGAUUGAGAUAGAAGUAUGGUACACCUGAACCAAAAAGAAGCUACAUUACACAGAGAGUGCUUUGGAACCUGCAAGUUUACCCACAUGGUGAGAUUACAAAAAAGCCAAAUACUAAGAGAUCAUCAUGAGAGUUAAUCCAGGUAUGACUCUAUCGCUCUGGUUUUGCGUACGUUCUACUGACAUAGCACUGCAUUAUGACACACACUGAGGCACAUUUUUGUUGUUUAACCUUGAGCCUUUCCAGCCACCCUUGUACGUUUUAUCCGUUGCGAACCCCUUUGAGCCUUUAACCAUUUUGUUUGUUUGU
rnacentral:lncRNA from 1 species